ACACGACUACAUUAGAUACCCGCGUAGUCCUAGCCGUAAACGAUACUCGCUAGGUGUACUGGUGACCACGAGUCACCGGGGUGCCGAAGGGAAACCGUGAAACGUGCCGCCUGGGAAGUACGGUCGCAAGGCUGAAACUUAAAGGAAUUGGCGGGGAGCACCACAACGGGUGGAGCCUGCGGUUUAAUUGGACUCAACGCCGGAAAUCUCACCGGAUAGGACAGACAUAUGAUAGUCGGGCUGAAGACUCUACUUGAUGAUCUG
rnacentral:rRNA from 1 species